rnacentral:rRNA from 1 species
GGACGAACGCUGGCGGCGUGCCUAAUACAUGCAAGUCGAACGAGCUCUCCUAAAUUGAUUUUAUGCUUGCAUAAAUGAUUUUUAGAUUCGGAGCGAGUGGCGAACUGGUGAGUAACACGUGGGUAACCUGCCCCGAAGCGGGGGAUAACAUUUGGAAACAAAUGCUAAUACCGCAUAAUUAGUUGGAACCGCAUGGUUCCAACUUGAAAGAUGGCUCUGCUAUCACUUUGGGAUGGACCCGCGCCGUAUUAGUUAGUUGGUGAGAUAAAAGCCCACCAAGACGAUGAUACGUAGCCGACCUGAGAGGGUAAUCGGCCACAUUGGGACUGAGACACGGCCCAGACUCCUACGGGAGGCAGCAGUAGGGAAUCUUCCACAAUGGACGAAAGUCUGAUGGAGCAACGCCGCGUGAGUGAUGAAGGUUUUCGGAUCGUAAAACUCUGUUGUUAAAGAAGAACAAGUGUUAGAGUAACUGUUAACACUUUGACGGUAUUUAACCAGAAAGCCACGGCUAACUACGUGCCAGCAGCCGCGGUAAUACGUAGGUGGCAAGCGUUGUCCGGAUUUAUUGGGCGUAAAGCGAGCGCAGGCGGUUUUGUAAGUCUGCUGUGAAAGCCCUCAGCUCAACUGAGGAAGUGCAGUGGAAACUACAAAACUUGAGUACAGAAGAGGAAAGUGGAACUCCAUGUGUAGCGGUGAAAUGCGUAGAUAUAUGGGAAGAACACCAGUGGCGAAGGCGGCUUUCUGGUCUGUUACUGACGCUGAGGCUCGAAAGCAUGGGUAGCGAACAGGAUUAGAUACCCUGGUAGUCCAUGCCGUAAACGAUGAAUACUAGGUGUUGGAGGGUUUCCGCCCUUCAGUGCCGCAGCUAACGCAUUAAGUAUUCCGCCUGGGGAGUACGACCGCAAGGUUGAAACUCAAAGGAAUUGACGGGGGCCCGCACAAGUGGUGGAGCAUGUGGUUUAAUUCGAUGCUACGCGAAGAACCUUACCAGCUCUUGACAUCUUCUGCCAACCCAAGAGAUUGGGCGUUCCCUUCGGGGACAGAAUGACAGGUGGUGCAUGGUUGUCGUCAGCUCGUGUCGUGAGAUGUUGGGUUAAGUCCCGCAACGAGCGCAACCCUUAUUAUUAGUUGCCAGCAUUUAGUUGGGCACUCUAGUGAGACUGCCGGUGAUAAACCGGAGGAUGGUGGGGACGACGUCAAAUCAUCAUGCCCCUUAUGAGCUGGGCUACACACGUGCUACAAUGGAUGGUACAACGAGUCGCGAAACCGCGAGGUCAAGCUAAUCUCUUAAAGCCAUUCUCAGUUCGGAUUGCAGGCUGCAACUCGCCUGCAUGAAGUUGGAAUCACUAGUAAUCGUGGAUCAGCAUGCCACGGUGAAUACGUUCCCGGGCCUUGUACACACCGCC